rnacentral:rRNA from 1 species
AACGAACGCUGGCGGCAGGCUUAACACAUGCAAGUCGAACGCAUCCUUCAGGGUGAGUGGCAGACGGGUGAGUAACGCGUGGGAACGUGCCCUUCAGUUCGGGAUAACCCAGGGAAACUUGGGCUAAUACCGGAUACGUGCGAGAGCAGAAAGAUUUAUCGCUGAAGGAUCGGCCCGCGUCUGAUUAGCUAGUUGGUGGGGUAAUGGCCCACCAAGGCGACGAUCAGUAGCUGGUCUGAGAGGAUGAUCAGCCACAUUGGGACUGAGACACGGCCCAAACUCCUACGGGAGGCAGCAGUGGGGAAUAUUGCACAAUGGGCGCAAGCCUGAUGCAGCGACGCCGCGUGAGGGAUGACGGCCUUCGGGUUGUAAACCUCUUUCAGCACCGACGAAGCGCAAGUGACGGUAGGUGCAGAAGAAGGACUGGCCAACUACGUGCCAGCCGCCGCAGUA